rnacentral:pre_miRNA from 1 species
UGGACAGAUUAUUGUAUUCGACUGUAUUUACGGCUUGAAAUAGGGGAUUACACUAUUUUUAAAAUGGAAAGGGAAUCAAUUAACAUAAUAGACUCCU